rnacentral:lncRNA from 1 species
AUGGCCACACCCAUGGCCUAUGGAGGUUCCCCGGCUAGGGGUCAAAACGGAGCUGCAGGAGCUGGCCUACGCCACAGCCACAGCAGCACAGAUCCGAGCCACGUUUGUGAACUAUAUCGCAGCUCACAGCAACGCGGGAUCCUUAACCCACUGAGUGAGGCCAGGAUCAAACCUGCAUCCUCAUGGAUACUAGUCGGGUUCAUUAACCGCGGAGCCACAAUGGGAACUCUAGGAAGUUUUCUAAUUAGAUACCACUUUCCAUUUAUUUCUAUAGCUCUGGGUUCUGACUUCAGUAGGAAAGGGGUCUGUGUUCAUUGUCCCCCACAGCUGCCUCUGAAGUGGACAUUAGGGGAUAUGCCCUCAUGAGGGUGGUACAGGUUAUUUUGGGAACAUGUUACUAUCUAUGGAAGAGUGGGAACUCAAGUAUAUUCAACUUUGAAGAAAAAAAAAUGUAGUCCCAGCUUUUGGUGUUCUAAGCAAUACCUAUGCUACGAAAUCUUAAUAAGCUUCUGAUCCUUUUCUAUCAGUUAGCUCCCUGUGCCAAUAUUCACACACAGAGUGUUUUUCUAGAUAGACGUCUCAAAUCUGCUGUAUCUUAGUGCCUCCUUCAACCCCACUGCACCUCUCUCUCUACUUACUGGUCAGCUACUUGGAAGCUACAGACUUAGAAGACCAUAACCUCAACUUGAUCUUUAUCACAAAAUGGAUGCAAGGAGUUCGUAUCUCUUAAAGAUGUUUUUUUCCUUUUAUUUCCUGCAUCCAGGAGCAGUAAGAUUUUCUCAUUCUUCAGUGUUUAAGUGUUCUAGGCUUUCUCCAAUCCCUUUUGGUCUGUUUACAAAAUGGCCAUUUUUUUCCUGUGAUCUUUUCUUUUCCCUGUAAUCUCUUGCCAAAUGCCUUUAAUAGUAGCCAAAAAUCACUAAGAGUUUUCAUCUUUCCAACUACUUCUAGAUGCCUAUAAAGAGUAGCACACCUAGCUUCUAUGAGUCUAUAAUGUAAUUGGAGAAGUAGAAUAUAUAGAUUUCACUGUAAUUAAAAACAUUAGUUUCAAUAUUUACAUAUUGUCAUUAAAACAUUAGUUUCAAUAUUUACUAAAUGCCUAGUACUUGAUUCAGAAAUUUAGUUCUAUUCCAGUUCAGGGAAGGAAAUAGUCACCAUCUCCAUUCAAACAAUGGAAACCACUGCAGAUUUGUGAGGGAAAGGGCAGCAUAACCAUAAGAGAGUUUUAGAGGACUUCUGGGUAACUAAGUCUUUGAUGUAAAUGAAAAAUGUGAUAUUGAUAGUCUGUAAAUUUAGGCUACACCCCGCCUGGGGCUUUAGCCUCAUUUUGCAAUGAUGUUGGAAUGAAGAAUAUCAACAAUACUUUACAGGCAGAGAUGAUCCAUGCAGUGAUCAGGUUUCUCAUUUAAUCUCUCAUUAGCUAGGAAAUAUCAGAUAGUCUGCUGAGGAAAAAAAAAGAAGGCGAUAUUCUUACACCCUGCGUGUGUUUAUAAAUAUCUACUGAUACUUUAAGAUGAACAUUGAAAAUAAUUCACUAAAUGAUAGCUGUAAUGAAGUGUGAAAUAAAUUAUCGUCUUUGUUGGUGAUAAAGAUUAUUGGGCUGGGCAAAAAGCAUAUUUAUCACAUAGCCUUGACAGAACAGACCUGCUAUAAUAAAGGAACUAAAGAACAAACAAGCUGCAAGCCAAACAUAGGAAAUUAAUUUGCUAUUUAAAUCUCCAUGGUAGAUGUGACUAAGACACCUGUCAUCAGGGUCAGAAGGUGCCUUUGAGGACAUUUGGAUUCACAGACAGGAGCUCAGGGAUCCGAUCUAGCAAUGCCAACCUUCAGCUGCUUCCUCGGAGGUAAGGAAGGCACCUUUUAGUGGAGGGGUUUUCUUAGGACUUGGGUCCUAAAUGUGACCACCAUGGAUCAAAAUUCAAUUAUUUUGAGGUUAAAAAAUUAUCCUAGGAGUUCCCGUCGUGGCACAGUGGUUAACGAAUCCGACUAGGAACCAUGAGGUUGCGGGUUCAAUCCCUGCCCUUGCUCAGUGGGUUAACGAUCCGGCGUUGCCGUGAGCUGUGGUGUAGGUUGCAGACGCGGCUCGAAUCCCACGUUGCUGUGGCUCUGGCUCUUACUUAAAAUGAAUUUAUGACUGUAGGUCUCAGUUAAGUAGCAUACAAGUUAAGGCGCAUAUUUUUUUUCUUUUAAGAAUAAUGAGAUAGGAAGAUUGAUAUGCCCACAAUUUCUCUUAGGAAGGGCACUGCCUUUGUUGGAGAGAAUUAUUUACUACACGCCUUGUAUAACAUGGGAGCAGUUCCCUUUUCUCCCUCUGGAGCCUGGGAGUUGUCUCACACUAAGAUGAGAACAUGUGUUAAGCUUUCUGAAUAGAAAG